GGGCCAUCAUGGGGAAGGAUCUCACCGAGGAGCAAGUCGCCUCCAUGCGCGAGGCCUUCACCCUCUUCGACAGUGACGGCGACGGCCGGAUCCCCGCCUCCGAGCUCGGCAUCCUCAUGCGCUCCCUCGGGGGCAACCCCACGCAGGCCCAGCUCAAAUCCAUCAUCUCCACCGAGAACCUCACCGCCCCCUUCGACUUCCCCCGCUUCCUCGACCUCAUGGCGAAGCACCUCCGCGCUGAACCGUUCGACCGCCAGCUCCGCGACGCCUUCAGGGUGCUGGAUAAGGAGGGGACGGGGAAGGUCGCGGUGGCGGAUCUGCGCCACGUGCUGACGAGCAUCGGGGAGAAGCUGGAGGGGGAGGAGUUUGAUGAGUGGAUUCGGGAGGUGGAGGUUGCGCAGGACGGGACGAUUAAUUACGAGGAUUUCAUCCUCCGCAUGAUCGCCAAGUAGAUCGGAGAACUAGUGCUUGGGGAGAAUGAGAUUCGAAGCCGCUGUUUGAACUAC
rnacentral:misc_RNA from 1 species